UUGAUGGUUUAGAACCUCGGCCUUAUAAAAACCACACAUUUUAUAUAUAUAUAUAUUGUUCGCUAUCCAGGAAGACUGAUCUGACUAAAGCAAGUACGUACCCCUUAGGUAAAAUGCUACAGUAAUUUCUCGAAUGAGCCUAAAGGGUAUCAGUUGUCCGAUAAAAGAUGAGAUGGUAUACAAAAUUUUAAUAAUUGUUUUUAUGUAAAUCGGAUCAACAUGAGAUGUAGGGCGUGUAGAUCACAUCAACUCGCACCCAAUAAAAGUAAUAAAAAAUAUUUUACAUAUUUCAAAAUGAUGUGACUCCCCCUGGAUGUUAGAGGGGUGGUUUGGUUAUUUUUAUUCCAUGAAAUAUAUUUUGUAUUUUUGUUAUUUGAGCGAGGUAGAAAUGCAUCUACCCUCCAAAUUUAAGAGGAAACAAAUUUAUCGAAAAAUUAAAACUCAGAGCCCAAAAUACACUCUUAAUGGUCUGAUCUCGUCCGACGGUUGAUAGCUUUUAAGCCCAUGUGAGAAAUUAGUUUGUUUGCUUAGAUCUGGGAAAUUGGGAACGAUGUUUUAAAAAUCAAUGAGUCGCAUGACCCAAGUCAGAACCGCAUUGAUUUGUUCACCUUUUAAUCCGUUUCAAGCCCAUUUAAGAGUCAUUUCAGUAUAUUGAUUAGUGUUUACUUAGAUAAGCAACUUGUUGAUUCUACACUAGUUGCUUCAGUCUCAUCGUAUCUGCAAGCUGAUCAAGGGAUUUGUACCUUGAGCUGGUAAUCACUCUUCCUUCUCACUACUCUGAAAAGCUCCUCAAGCUCUCAAUUCAUUUUGAGGCUGACGACAAUUGCUGGAUGAAAUUGCAACACAAAUGUGGGCUGACGAUACGAAUAGUUGAAAGAUUCCAGUUUCUUCUUGUGCAGAGGAAUUUAUAUAUAUAUUGUAAUUGUGUUGACAUUUUCCUUAAGUUCAUGGACCAUGACAGCCAUUGAGAAUCUGGUUUUGGUUUCAUUUACUGUUAUUACUAUUCUUGUUCUUAUUGUGCAUACGAGGCCAAGAAGUGCAGUAUUACAAGUAACAGGGAACAUAGUGUAUAUCUGCAGACUGUAGAUAUGCAAAUGGUGCAUGCAUAUGACAUUCAUUACCUGCGUUCAUUGUUUCAGUAUUGUUUGUCCUCUCAGUAAUGGGAUUCUUGUAGAGCAGAUCUUUUAAUCAUUGAUGUGAAGGUUGGUUGGAAUAAGGCAAAGAAGAUCAACUUCUCUGAAGAUCACUUUUGUUUCAGAGUAAUGUCAUUCUUGCUGAGCAGAUCUUUUAACCGAUGUAAAGCCAGGUUCGAAUAAGUCGAAGAAGAUGACCUUCCCCGAGAUUUCUUAUUUUGUUUUAUUUUAUUUUGUCCCUUGUUGACAAGAAUGUGGCUGAUGUUUUUGGAACUUGUAUCUACACAAGCUCUACGUAUUUGCUUGUGUGUGGGGUGGGUUCAGGUCUUUCUGUGUCUAAUUAUUUAUGUGCUGAAUAGUGUGAAAGUUUCAUCGUAUAUGAUGUAUAGAAUUCAAUGGAGACGGUUAUUUGUGAUAUGAUCAUUUGAGAUGGCUUUAUUUGACAUGGUUAUUUGAGAUGUAAUUA